GAGUAUUAUUUACCUCCAACUAAACAAGACCUAAUUUUUAUUACACCAUAACUCCAUAACAGAGUGCUCUAUCUCUAUGACUUUAUCCAUGCCGUAAGCUGCUAAGAGUGCUUACUGUGAGUCUGUGACGUUUGUCAAUAUUAAUGUUGUGGGAUGAUGGCUCAAAUCGCUCAAUGUACCACUGGAGUUAAUUUUUUGCAAGGAACAACCUUAUCUUCCAAUAAAUAUAGCUUUCAUGGGGUUUGCAGCCAACCCCUGGUGUUAAUUACUUAUAAUAAAGCAUGUUUAUAUCAUGGAAAAAUUGCCAAUUUUCACAGAAAUGGAGGGGUUUCAUCUUCACCUUUAGUAGGGUCCUGGGAGGUGUCAAGUAAUGCUGCAAGCAUCUCUUGUAAGGUAUUAUAAUUCAAUGCUCUACUUUUUACCAUUUUCGAUUUGUGUUUUAUUGAAAAUUAUUAUAUACACCUGGGCGUAAGGUGUUUUUUUUUCUCAUUUGAUUAUGAGCCAUAAUCGUCAAAAUAA